rnacentral:ncRNA from 1 species
UUGAGAAUAUACAUCUGGAUUAAUAGUAAUCUGAUCAAUUGCAGAGAACUUGUUGUUAGCUGAAAUACAAGUAUUGACAUCAAUUACGAACCUACUAGAUGAUUUUUACCAUUGCAAUGAUGGUACGCGUUUCAGCGUUAUCGAUUUGAGUGAAUCUUUAUAUUAAGAUUAAUUAAGGUGGUACCACGGAAAACUGUUUCGUCCUUUUA